GACGAACGCUGGCGGCGUGCUUAACACAUGCCAGUCGAACGGAAAGGCCCUGCUUUUGUGGGGUGCUCGAGUGGCGAACGGGUGAGUAACACGUGAGUAACCUGCCCUUGACUUUGGGAUAACUUCAGGAAACUGGGGCUAAUACCGGAUAGGAGCUCCUGCUGCAUGGUGGGGGUUGGAAAGUUUCGGCGGUUGUGGAUGGACUCGCGGCUUAUCAGCUUGUUGGUGGGGUAGUGGCUUACCAAGGCUUUGACGGGUAGCCGGCCUGGGAGGGUGACCGGCCACAUUGGGACUGGGGAGCCACCCGGAGUCCUACGGGAGGAAGGAGCGGGGAAUAUUGCACAAGGGGCGGAGGCCGGAUGCAGCAGCGCCGCGUGGGGGAGGACGGCCUUCGGGUUGUAAACCGCUUUCGCCUGUGACGAAGCGUGGGGAACGGAAAUGGGUAAAGAGGCACGGGCUAACUAGGU
rnacentral:rRNA from 1 species